AGCCUGAUCAGCCAUGCCGCGUGAGUGAUGAAGGCCCUAGGGUUGUAAAGCUCUUUCGGCGGGGAAGAUAAUGACGGUACCCGCAGAAGAAGCCCCGGCUAACUUCGUGCCAGCACCGCGGUA
rnacentral:rRNA from 1 species